rnacentral:rRNA from 1 species
UGGGGAAUUUUGGACAAUGGGCGAAAGCCUGAUCCAGCAAUGCCGCGUGUGUGAAGAAGGCCUUCGGGUUGUAAAGCACUUUUGUCCGGAAAGAAAUCCUUGGCUCUAAUACAGUCGGGGGAUGACGGUACCGGAAGAAUAAGCACCGGCUAACUACGUGCCAGCAGCCGCGGUAAUACGUAGGGUGCAAGCGUUAAUCGGAGUUACUGGGCGUAAAGCGUGCGCAGGCGGUUUGCUAAGACCGAUGUGAAAUCCCCGGGCUCAACCUGGGAACUGCAUUGGUGACUGGCAGGCUAGAGUAUGGCAGAGGGGGGUAGAAUUCCACGUGUAGCAGUGAAAUGCGUAGAGAUGUGGAGGAAUACCGAUGGCGAAGGCAGCCCCCUGGGCCAAUACUGACGCUCAUGCACGAAAGCGUGGGGAGCAAACAGGAUUAGAUACCCUGGUAGUCCACGCCCUAAACGAUGUCAACUAGUUGUUGGGGAUUCAUUUCCUUAGUAACGUAGCUAACGCGUGAAGUUGACCGCCUGGGGAGUACGGUCGCAAGAUUAAAACUUAAUGAAUUGACGGGGUCAUAGCUGUUUCCU